CAUUCUUUCUUUCCCGAGCAUCCAUAUCAUCCUCAAAUCGCAUCUCCGGUAGCAGCACCGGCGAGGGCCACCACCUCCGCGCGCCCCGCACACUCGAAGCUUCUCAAUCGCUUCCCAUCCAUUUUAUGCCGCCGUUGGCUUUCUCCGGCGAACUCAUCCCCUUCUCUCCUUACAAGUCGUGCCCAACCCAGUAUUCCAGUCCUCCGUGUCAGCAGUGGAGGGGGUUGGUUGCCCAACGCGACUGGAGACAGGGGCUGUGCAUGCACGGGAUGGGCGGCAAGCUCUCCGAUUUUUUGCUGGAAGCCGGCAGUGCUAGGUGACGAGGCGGCGAGCCGGAGCCGAGGACGCAAGGAUGUUGCAACCAUGGCGACCACGCGCUGGAACCGGCUGGCGUCAAAGCUGCAUCCAUGGUGACCAAACGCUUGGACCCAAUGGCGGUCGUGCUGCAAUCCCUGCGACCACGAGUAGGGGACUUCGCUGGUGCUCGUCGUCCACGGCCCUGGCCCCAGCCCCGACGGCAAGGCAAAGACUAGUUUUGAGAUUUGAAAGCGGCGAGCCGGGGACGGCACUGAACUCCUGGAGUGUGAAGCGUGCUACUACGAGUCUUUAGG